rnacentral:misc_RNA from 1 species
CCAAGUUAUGAGUUUUCCAGACUCUGAUUGAAAAAGAAGAAUAAGUAAAAAUACCACUAUUUUCCAAAUCAAGGGGGAAAAUCCAUUUCACUGUAAAACUAAACAACAUGGUUUAAUUAACUUUGAGGGGAGGCAAGGAAAGGCAAACUUGUUUAUACCCAUAAUCCUAUACUAAGCAACUGCUAAAAACUUCAACUAAUAAGGAAAGCAAAUAGGUUUAUGACCAAUGACAACAAAAUUAGAGGACAAUUGAACGAAGUAAUGUUGUCGACAACUACCAAUCCAGCUAAAGUUCAAUGUUAGUGUACAGAUUUGUUCAUAUUGAAAACUGCAAUUGAAUUUUACCCGAAGACAAACGAUUAAAUCACAUUAAUUUUAACCUUCAAGAAAAACAGCCGACUAUAAAUAACCGAUUUGAAACCAACGAAGCAAAGACCUUUCAACUGAGUUUAAUAUCACUAAUUUAGCUCAGCUUCAAUUUAUUAUAACCAAAGCAGCAUCAAAUACAUCAAUCAAAAAGCUAUUUCCCAUCCCUUUCCUACACUUUCUCAGCAACCAAACAGUAAACUAUCUUACUUAGUCGAAGGGAAGAGCUCCUGUUACAUCAAAUAAACAAUCGCGUUUCCCAAAUCCAUGGGGUCAAAAGCACGAAAGCAUAAAACAAUGGGAAACAAAUAAAUCGAAACAAUCAAAAUCUAGAAAAAUAGAAUCUA